AUCAAAACAUUUAUCAGCAUACAGAGGAUUUAGUGAGCAUAUUUUUUAACAGAAAUCUAUUUUAGGAUAAAAAUAUGCAAAUUACAACUAAAAGGAAGGCAGUGUCCUUGAUGAUUUUGACCUUGGUGUUGUGGCUCGCGUCACUUGUAUCACCCGGAUGGGUUAUUAUAUCGCUCAAAGAAAUAAAAGAGGAGAGAGUUUCUAGGACGUUUCGCGGGGGUAUAUUUUACUUCUUAUUGUGUACAGAAGAUGAAUGUGUCUUGGAAAAUUACAAUUAUAAUCACGUGUUUUCCAAGG